UCUUUCUCACACCUUAAACUCAAACCAUUGUGUUGCCCCGCCCAAAAUACAUAAUUUAAUAAUUAAAUUAAUAUCAUAAACAUGCGGGCGACUAGUCGACUAAUGGCCCUAAAUGACGACUAUUGGUCGACUAGGAAAAUUCUUAGUCAGGGACACUCCUACUGUUUUGCAGCUGCCGGCUACAGCCUUGUCACUCAACACUGGACCACUUCCAAAACUUGUUGUUGCUACGAGUCAUUUAGACAGAAAAACAUGGAAGUCCAGGUUGAGAAAUACCAAACUCACCCUUUAACCUGUGAAACUAGUAUCUUCAGCAGCGUCCCUCUGGGCUUCUACAUCAUGGGCAGCAUGUUGAUGUUAGUUGGUGCCAGAUACCUCGCAGGCCGUGACUAGGCUCGGACUCGUGUAGGCUUUGAGAGCAGAGUGGGACAAACACUCUUCUUGCUGGACCACCACUGGUACUCUGGGUUGCACCCUUUUUCCAAAAAGGCAUUCCAGGAGAGAGCUGCUCCUGCUGAAUCUUUCUGGAAAACCAGGACAAGUUUAAACUGGGAGGUUUUUCUUUAAUAUUGUUUUUAUUUGUUAAAGUUAAUGCAUUUUUCUCUGCAGCAGACAUCGGUACGUUAAACAUUAAUUUUAGCAGGGGUGUGCAUGCAGUAUUUCUUUUUCUACGAUGUUGAUAUGAGGAACAUCUGAGCUUAUUUAUGUAGUCGACAUUGUUGUAAUGUCCCCACCGCUGUGUGAAGUGAAGUUCGCCAUUUAAUUUAUCGCCACCUGUUGUUUAUGUGAUGUUGUUCUAUCCCUCCACUAUGCGCAACAGAGGAAGUUUAAGAGCACUUUAUAUUUUUGUUUUGUCUCGUGGGAGUUGUGUACUAACACAGUCUAAUGUAUGUUUUUUUCUAACACUUGGGAUUAAGGCACAGAAGGUUUAAGAAUGUAAAAUGAAAACAAGGGAGGUCUGAUAAUCUGACGUUGUUGUUUUUUUGGAGGAAGUGGUGAGCUUGUUCAUACUGUUUAAUGUUUUUAAACAGUAAAAAUAUGUAUUGUGUAAAGGAGAAAAGUGAUGAAGGGCAAUCAUGACUUGGCAGACAAUUUUUGGUUCACACAGGAAAUGUGAAGACUUAAGAAUAUACAUGUAUAGCCCUGUUUCCACCAAGCACUUUAGGUAUGGUACCUUUGGAACCAAAAGUAACCCUUCAGACAUGGCACCUAGACCCUAGCUCCAUUUAGUGUUUCCAACUCAUGCACUGAGUAACAUUACAAGUUAACGUUCCACCUUAAAAGUCGCCGGCAGUCUGCCCAGUGAAUUGAGUUGUUUUUUUCUCAUUUUACUAAUAAAACUCUCCACGAUAUGAACAGUGGUUACAUGAGCCUCAAAACCAGCCACAACUCAGCCCUGAGCAGAGUGACUGUCUGCUAUUGACCAAUCAACAGACUGCAGUGUUCACAGCUCCACCUUUUAGUAUCAGAUCUGUAUGCUAGGUACCCCGACAGAGGGGGGACCAAAAAUGGGGAUGGUACGGAAUGGUCCCAUUGGUACCAUCCACAACUUGUCACAGUGGAAACAGAAAUUCUCCCAAAGCUUAAAACCAACUACGAAGAUCAUUUAGGGACAAAAACUGAUGCAGCUGUUAAUAGGUGAUUUAUUUUGUAGACCAAAAUGUUAGUGUAGCUUUUAUUUAAGUACAUGGAUCUACACCCUGUAUGAUUUUUUUGUUGGGUUUUUUGUUUGUUUGUGAGAACUGUCUUUGGUUAUGAAACUGACCAAAAAUAAAAUCACUACUUUCCACAUAACUUAUAUUUUCUGGCUACAAAAAGAUUUAUUUAUCCAAGGAAAUUCACAAUUGUGUCACUGCAGUGAAGUUCAGCUUUUUUGUAUGAUAAAAUUAAUAUGGGAAUUAAUUUAAAUUAAUUAAUUUAAUUGUAAAAAUUUAUUUUAAAUUAAUUUAAAGGGAGAAAAAUAAAAGCAUAGAACCAAAUAUUGCUAAAAUAGUUCCCUUUUUGGUAUAGUCCUGGUUUGAGGAGUUAAGCUUGAUGUCUUUUUGUUCUGUUGCCGAACAUUUGUCAUAUUUGUCUUGGAUGGUGGAUAUGACUUGAUCCUUGAUGAAAGGUGGAGGCAGAACAGUUAUUUUGCUCAAGUGUGUUGGUUAGUGUGUAGGAUUCAGGGGCAUCUCUGGAAUAUAAUGUGAAUGACUUUGUUUUCAUUAGUUUAUAAUCACCUGAAAAUAACAUUUGUUGUGUUUUCGUUACCUUAGAAUGAGCCGUUUAUAUCUACAUACUUCCACAAAGUCCGCCAUGUUUCUACAGAAGCCCAGAACGGACAAACCAAACACUGGCUCUAGAUAGGCCCUUAUGUGAUUUUGUGUUGGCAGAUGGGAGAAGUCUCAGUUCUGCAACACCAUUAGAUGCCACUAAAGCCUUCACACUGGACCUUAAAGAAAUGGUUUUGUAUUAGCUCUGUAUAGUUUUGUGCAAGUGAAGGCAUGAAAUCACUGCGUUAAAAGUGCUCUCAGUUUACUAACGGAUGUUCAUGAUUGAAUUGAAUAAAAGGGAAAUGUCAUCUUGAGAAGAGAAGCUUUAACUCAAGUGUUUUACCCUGAAUUCAGAGACUUAAAAUGACGGCAAGCAUGAAAGCAAAGUGUGCUACCAACUCUCAUACACGACCUUUAACUGUGAAAUUGUUGGUUUUCGUGACGAGUCGUUUCAUAUCGAACAAUGAAAACAUGUCUCCACCCUUUUGCUGCUCACUCUGCAUGUCAUUUCCUCCAACUCCUUCACAGUGGCAUCGGCAUUAAAAGGAAAUAACGCAAAGCAGUACUGCUCUGAUUGAAAUGUAUAAAAUGAGGAAACAUUUUGUGCUAAUGUCAUCACCUCUUAUGUACAGAAACGUUUAUGGAAGAACAAAUGUCAUGAAAAAAUAAACUUUAGUUCUGAAAUUUA